GUUUAUGGUGAACGAAGCUACAGUACUGCAUGUCUUGAGAUCUGGUAUUUUGGAUAUUGCUUGGUCAGUCCACGCUUCUAUAGUACUACACUUCGAUAAAUUUAUCUUUGACUCCAGAUCAAGGUAUGAAAAUUGUGUGACUAUUUAGUUAUGAAAACAGAAUAUAAACUUCUUGCAGAGACUGUAUUAAACAACUACUUUGAGGACAACAAUAGUUCUGAGGUUCCUGAUAAGUUGAUCUGGAAUGUGCACAAGGCUGUUUUGCGAGGUCAUUUCAUACAAAGAACGUCUCACCUGAAGAAAGACAAAAUAAAAAAACUAAAAAUGCUUAGAAAAAAGAGCUAUACAAUUUAAAAUCAAGCAAAUGGAAGUUCAGCAAAUAAAUGUUGCAAGAAUAUACUUCGGGUGAAAAUAUAAAAUCUAUAGAAGCACUAGGGUUCUCGAACUACAUAGAUGGUGCUUAAAAAACCCAAUGUUU